GACGAACGCUGGCGGCGUGCUUAACACAUGCAAGUCGAACGAGUGGCGAACGGGUGAGUAAUACGGGGGUAACCUGCACUCUUUUUGGGAUAAGCCUUGGAAACGGGGUCUAAUACCGAAUAAAGGGGGAUGGGCUCGAGGUCUAUCCGCUUGUUGGUGGGGUGAUGGCCUACCAAGGCGGUGCCGGGUAGCCGGCCUGCGAGGAAGACCAGCCACACGGGGACUGAGACACGGCCCAGAUGCCUACGGGAGGCAGCAGUGGGGAAUUUUGGACAAUGGGGGCAACCCUGAUCCAGCCAUGCCGCGUGCAGGAUGAAGGUCUUCGGAUUGUAAACCGCUUUCGCUAUCGAACGGGUAGGUGGAGAAGAAGCGCCGGCUAACUACGUGCCAGCAGCCGCGGUAAUUC
rnacentral:rRNA from 1 species